rnacentral:tRNA from 1 species
GGGUCGUUAGCUCAACUGGAUAGAGCAUCCGACUGAGUAGCGCGUCCGUUCUCCGCUCCUGCGGUCAUGGAGGCGCUUCCUUCUUCUCCUUGUUGGAUCGGAAGGUUCGGGGUUCGAGUCCCCGGCGACCCA